GCCGCGGUAGCUCAGUUGGGAGAGCGUCAGACUGAAGAUCUGAAGGUCGCUGGUUCAAGCCCGGCCCGCGGCA
rnacentral:tRNA from 1 species